GACGAACGCUGGCGGCGUGCUUAACACAUGCAAGUCGAACGGAAAGGCCCUGCUCUUGUGGGGUGCUCGAGUGGCGAACGGGUGAGUAACACGUGAGUAACCUGCCCUUGACUUUGGGAUAACUUCAGGAAACUGGGGCUAAUAUCGGAUAGGAGCUCCUGCUGCAUGGUGGGGGUUGGAAAGUUUCGGCGGUUGGGGAUGGACUCGCGGCUUAUCAGCUUGUUGGUGGGGUAGUGGCUUACCAAGGCUUUGACGGGUAGCCGGCCUGAGAGGGUGACCGGCCACAUUGGGACUGAGAUACGGCCCAGACUCCUACGGGAGGCAGCAGUGGGGAAUAUUGCACAAUGGGCGGAAGCCUGAUGCAGCAACGCCGCGUGCGGGAUGACGGCCUUCGGGUUGUGAACCGCUGUCGCCUGAGACGAAGCGUGAUUGACGGUAAUGGGUAAAGAAGCACCGGCUAACUACGUG
rnacentral:rRNA from 1 species